rnacentral:rRNA from 1 species
AUUGAACGCUGGCGGCAUGCCUAACACAUGCAAGUCGAACGGCAGGCACGGGAGCAAUCCUGGUGGCGAGUGGCGAACGGGUGAGUAAUAUAUCGGAACGUGCCCAGUCGUGGGGGAUAACGUAGCGAAAGCUACGCUAAUACCGCAUACGAUCUAUGGAUGAAAGCGGGGGAUCGCAAGACCUCGCGCGAUUGGAGCGGCCGAUAUCAGAUUAGGUAGUUGGUGAGGUAAAGGCUCACCAAGCCGACGAUCUGUAGCUGGUCUGAGAGGACGACCAGCCACACUGGGACUGAGACACGGCCCAGACUCCUACGGGAGGCAGCAGUGGGGAAUUUUGGACAAUGGGCGCAAGCCUGAUCCAGCAAUGCCGCGUGCAGGAUGAAGGCCUUCGGGUUGUAAACUGCUUUGUACGGAACGAAACGGUGAGCUCUAAUACAGUUUGCUAAUGACGGUACCGUAAGAAUAAGCACCGGCUAACUACGUG